UUGACCUGAAAUUAGGUAAGAGGACCCGCUGAACAUUGCAU
rnacentral:rRNA from 1 species